rnacentral:rRNA from 1 species
CUACGGGGUGCAGCAGUGGGGAAUAUUGCACAAUGGGCGCAAGCCUGAUGCAGCCAUGCCGCGUGUAUGAAGAAGGCCUUCGGGUUGUAAAGUACUUUCAGCGGGGAGGAAGGGAGUAAAGUUAAUACCUUUGCUCAUUGACGUUACCCGCAGAAGAAGCACCGGCUAACUCCGUGCCAGCAGCCGCGGUGAAUACGGAGGGUGCAAGCGUUAAUCGGAAUUACUGGGCGUAAAGCGCACGCAGGCGGUUUGUUAAGUCAGAUGUGAAAUCCCCGGGCUCAACCUGGGAACUGCAUCUGAUACUGGCAAGCUUGAGUCUCGUAGAGGGGGGUAGAAUUCCAGGUGUAGCGGUGAAAUGCGUAGAGAUCUGGAGGAAUACCGGUGGCGAAGGCGGCCCCCUGGACGAAGACUGACGCUCAGGUGCGAAAGCGUGGGGAGCAAACAGGAUUAGAUACCCGUGUAGUC